rnacentral:rRNA from 1 species
GUCUAUGGCCAUACCACCCUGAACGUGCCUGAUCCCGUCAGAUCUUGGAAGCUUGGAUUAGUACUUGGAGGGAGACCACCUAGGAAGACCAGGUGCUGUAGGUG